rnacentral:rRNA from 1 species
GCGAGUGACCGGGAAAAGCUCAAAUUUGUAAUCUGGCUGUCUUCGAUAGUCCGAGUUGUAAUCUAUAGACGUGUUUUCCGUGCUGGACCGUAUCUAAGUCCCUUGGAACAGGGUAUCAAAGAGGGUGACAAUCCCGUGCUUGAUACGACCACCAGUGCUCUGUGAUACACGCUCUACGAGUCGAGUUGUUUGGGAAUGCAGCUCAAAAUGGGUGGUAAAUUCCAUCUAAAGCUAAAUAUUGGCGAGAGACCGAUAGCGAACAAGUACCGUGAGGGAAAGAUGAAAAGCACUUUGGAAAGAGAGUUAAACAGUACGUGAAAUUGUUGAAAGGGAAACGAUUGAAGUCAGUCGUGUUCUUUGGAUUCAGCUAGUUCUUCUAGUCUACUUCCUUUGAACGGGUCAACAUCAGUUUUGUCCGGUGGAUAAAGAUAGUAGGAAUGUAGCUCCCUCGGGAGUGUUAUAGACUAUUAUUGCAUGCACUGGGUGAGACUGAGGACUGCAGCUCGCCUUUUGGCCGGCCUUCGGGUACGUUCGAGCUUAGGAUGUUGACAUAAUGGCUUUAAACGACCCGUCUUGA